UCCCUGGUGGUCCAGUGGUUAGGACUCAGCAUUUCUGGUUCAGGAGAUGCAGGUUCAAUCCCUGGUCUGGGAA
rfam:TPA: Bos taurus chromosome 2, whole genome shotgun sequence.